rnacentral:lncRNA from 1 species
CCGGCUCCGGUUGAAAGUACAUUUGAGCAAUCAAUUGUUUGUGCAACUUGAUCUCAUUGAUGAUCUCCUGCGCUGCCCCGUUGACGAAGACGACGAAGUAUCAUCGAACCCUUCGUUCAUUUUUUAAAGGUAAAGAAUGAAAAUGUAGUAGAGAAAGAGGGAAAGUUUAAAUGUGUGAAUGAAGUGGAGAAGUGAGGGAUAUUUAUAGUGAGGGAAAUAAAAAAUAUAUAUAAAAGAGAGAGAGAGAGAGAGAGAGAGAGAGAGAGAGAGAGAGAGAAAGAGAGUAGAAAGCCGUUAGGGAUUCUUGGGAAUCAAAAGGAAAGAAAAAAAUUCGAUUUUUUUUUCAAAUAGACGCAUGUGUGGCACGCGCCAAUUCUUAAAGCUAUCAGGGCAUACCCGAUCUAUCGGGUCUCCCUCGAGUAAGGAGGAGUUGCAGUGGGGUACUCGAUCUCCCACUUACUCGAGUAGGUGGGAUCGAGUACCCCACUGUGGGUGCUCUUAGUUAUGGUCUUUCAAACUUUAUAUGAGAUAAUGUUCACGAAUCAAUUUUAUUCUUUCAAAUUUCAAACGAGGUGGUGCUCGAAACUCAUUUAUGAUAUUUCAAACUUCACAUGAAAUAAUGCACAAGCAUUUGUCAAGAUUUUUCAAGUUGCAUACAAUAUAUAUGUUUAGAAGUAGUUAUGAUCCUACAAGCUUAAGAUGAUAAUAAUCUUUAAAGUUCCACACGAGAUCAUUUUUGUAACUUAGUUGUGGUCAUUAAAAGUUCAAAUGAGAUGAUACUCACAAGUUAAAUGUGUAAUUAUUUACAACAGUUGAUUUCUUAAUCUUUAAAGUUCCACACCAGAUAAUUUUUGUAACUUAGCUGUGGUCAUUAAAAGUUCAAAUGAGAUGAUACUCACAAGUUAAAUGUGUUAUUUCAAACUCCAAAUGAAAUGAUUCUUGGAACCCAAUUAUAAUAUUUGAAGCUAAUAAUGCAUAAAAUUUUGUCAAGAUUUUUUCAAGUUCCAUACAAAAUGAUGUUUACAAGUUAGUUAUGAUGUUGGAAGCUCCAAAUCAUACAAUCUCACAAGUCAACUUUGAGUUUUAAAGCUCCAAAUAGUGGUGUUAAAAAAAUUGACGCAUAAAAACUCAAUUUUUGUAUUUUAAGGUCUACGCGCUGCUCAAAAGUCUGGUGUUCAAACGUUAGAUAUCGUCUUUCAGACAUUAGAUGAUGAUAUGAUCCUACAUAGUUUAGACGAGAUGAUGCUCACAUGAAGAAAAUCAUCAAUCUUAUAUCAACCUUUUUCAAAACAUUAUUAAAUAAAAAUUUAUAUAAAAAUAAUAUUUAUUAUUCUAACAAAAAGUUAACAUUUAAUUAAAGAAUAUGGUUCAAAUUAAUAUAAUUUCAAUUAUAUUAUCUCAAAUUAAAUAAAUUUAAAAAUAAUUUAUAUAAAAAUAAUUUCUUAUAUAAAAAUAAUAUCAUAUAAUUUAAAAUAUAAAAUAAUUAUCUGUCGAAAUUACAUACUUUGUAUUUUAUAAGUAGUUACAGACAAUAUGGUAGGUGUUUUAGCGUAUAUCUUGUAAUUAAAUCUCGUAUAUGGCAUUCCUAUUAAGGCCUUUCGCUAUUUUGAUUUGUUGAUCAAUCAAUUUCAUUAUUUAAAUCUACGCUAGGGUACGUCUGUCUCAGGUGUCACGUAUGUGCUUCUUGUCAUUUAUAGGUUUGUCCACACGAAAAAUGAAAUGAAAUAAUACUCAAUUCUAUCUGUUUUUAAUUCUUAGAAUGCGAUCACUCAACCUUCUCCCUGUCGUAUUAAAUUAACCAAAGCAAAAGACAAAAAUAUACCGUCAUCUGCCAUCAUCAAUGCAUGUGAAUACCAUCUAGUACGAGGCUGUACCUAAUUAAUCGAUUUUAGGAGAACAUAUAUAAUUCAUAAACUUUUCUUUCAAAUAGGCUUCUUCCAACAUUUUAGGUUAAUUUUGUUGGUUAUCCUUGACAUCAUCUAAUGAUACGCAGCGGAAAUAACAGUCAAGGAUUAGAUCUAGAUUUACAAUUUAUUCAUGUGUAGAGAUAGGCAAACGUACACAACAAUAAGAAUAACUUACUUGUUAUGUGGUAAACGUGCGUCUCGAUUCGUGUCGUGAAUCCACUACUAAGGUAUCCACGUGCAUGUCGAUUCGAUGCAGGAACAAUUCCCAGUGCAUGUUUCAAUCUUCGACAGCUAGGAAAUCUCCGAUUGAAACCAUAGUACUCUCUUAGUGUUUGCAAGCCAAAAGCUCUAAGCUAAUGUUUUCGUAUAUUUUCAUAUAUCGAUUCGUAAGACCAAGCUCCCUUAUUUAUAAGCGAAGAAGACAAUUCUAAAUUGUCUUGUCUUCCUUAGUCAACAAUUACGACUAAGGAAUUCACACUUGAGUCAACAAUUACGACUAAGGAAUUCACACUUGAACUGUCUUACUUAGUAUUAGAAUAUAUCAAAUAUAUCCUAAUCUAGUCC